GACGAACGCUGGCGGCGUGCCUAAUACAUGCAAGUAGAACGCACAGUUUAUACCGUAGCUUGCUACACCAUAGACUGUGAGUUGCGAACGGGUGAGUAACGCGUAGGUAACCUGCCUGGUAGCGGGGGAUAACUAUUGGAAACGAUAGCUAAUACCGCAUAAUAUUAAUUAUUGCAUGAUAAUUAAUUGAAAGGUGCAAUUGCACCACUACCAGAUGGACCUGCGUUGUAUUAGCUAGUAGGUGAGGUAACGGCUCACCUAGGCGACGAUACAUAGCCGACCUGAGAGGGUGGUCGGCCACACUGGGACUGAGACACGGCCCAGACUCCUACGGGAGGCAGCAGUAGGGAAUCUUCGGCAAUAGACGAAAGUCUGACCGAGCAACGCCGCGUGAGUGAAGAAGGUUUUCGGAUCGUAAAGCUCUGUUGUAAGAGAAGAACGGGUGUGAGAGUGGAAAGUUCACACUGUGACGGUAUCUUACCAGAAAGGGACGGCUAACUACGUG
rnacentral:rRNA from 1 species